rnacentral:siRNA from 1 species
UUUAACAGCCUGCCCACCCUGGA